rnacentral:rRNA from 1 species
ACUAUCGUAAGAUAGGUAUCACACACUAGAAUACAUAGGUGUGUGAGGACGAACGGAGGGGAAGUGAAACAUCUCACGUACCCUACAGGAAAAGAAAUCAAUUGAGACUUCCUGAGUAGCGGCGAGCGAACGGGGAGCAGCCCUUUAAGUCGAUUAUGCUUUAGUGGAACAGUCUGGAAAAGUCUGGCCAUAGUAGGUGAUAGCCCCGUACACGAAAAGGGCAUAGUCGAUGAAAACGAGUAGGACGGGACACGUGAAAUCCUGUUUGAAGAUGGGGGGACCAUCCUCCAAGGCUAAAUACUCCUGACUGACCGAUAGUGAACAAGUACCGUGAGGGAAAGGCGAAAAGAACCGUGGUGAACGGAGUGAAAUAGAACCUGAAACCGUAUGCAUACAAGCAGUAGGAGCACCUUUGUGGUGUGACUGCGUACCUUUUGUAUAAUGGGUCAGCGACUUAUUCUCAGUAGCAAGGUUAACCGAAUAGGGGAGCCGUAGAGAAAUCGAGUCUGAAUAGGGGC